CACAAACAGACACACACACACUGACAGACACAUUUACACAUUCUUGCACACACUCACAUCAUUCCCUGGGGUCCAGUGGAGAUCUUCUAUCUGGAGAUCUCCUUCCUGCUCCCUCGCGCGCAGUUUAGUGAUGCCGGGUGCCAGAAUAUGACGUCAUAUUCUGGCACCUGGCCUCACUACAGACAGAGCGCGCAAGCGUCCUGCUUCCUCUCCGG